GUGUCAGCCGCCGCGGUAAUACGGAGGGUGCAAGCGUUAUCCGGAUCCAUUGGGUUUAAAGGGUGCGCAGGCGGAUACUUAAGUCAGUGGUGAAAUCCCGGGGCUCAACCCCGGAACUGCCAUUGAUACUGAAUAUCUGGAAUACGGUUGAAGUGGGCGGAAUGUAGCAUGUAGCGGUGAAAUGCAUAGAGAUGCUACAGAACACCGAUCGCGAAGGCAGCUCACUAAGCCGAUAUUGACGCUCAGGCACGAAAGCGUGGGGAGCGAACAGGAUUAGAUACCCUGGUAGUCCACGCCGUAAACGAUGAUAACUCGUUGUUGGCGACACACAGUCAGCGACUAAGCGAAAGCGAUAAGUUAUCCACCUGGGGAGUACGAUCGCAAGGUUGAAACUCAAAGGAAUAGACGG
rnacentral:rRNA from 1 species